CCAAUUUGUCUCUUUACAUUCCGUCAUCAAUUUCCUAACAGUUUGUGCUGCUUGGAGAGCUGAAAUGAUGAUGAGCAUUCAUUGGCUAUGGGCAACUCUAGCCUUGGCUGGACUUUGCUAUUUUCUUCCUCAGUAUUUUCUAGGGAUGCAAAGUGCGGCCAAGGCUAGAGUUGUAUCUUCUUCCUCAGUAUUUUCUUCCUCAGUAUCUGAGAUGUAUCUUUAAGUCAAAUUUAGCAAAGUGCGGAAGAACCCUCAUCCCUCAUCUACUGAGGAAGAACCCUCAUCCCUAGCCUUGGCCGCACUUUGUGGCCAUCAUGAUGGAAAUUAUUCAGUCUGGAACGUCUGAGUUCGAAUUUGACCGUCGUCAUGUCAAAGCUGUUUUGUUUGAGGAUAUGCUUGUAGCCUCGAUGGGCACUUCAGUGACAGCAGUUGAAUGGGGCAUCUUAGAACUCCUUAGACAUCCAACGGCCAUGAGGAAACUCCAAAAAAAAACUGGAAGAGAAAGUCGGGUUGGAGAGGAUUGUUGAGGAAUCAGAUCUUGAGGGCCUGGAGUAUUUGGACAUGGUUGUCAAAGAAUCAAUGAGGCUUCAUCCUGUCGGACCACUAAUGCUCCCCCACGAGUCAAUUCAAGAUUGCACAGUUGAUGACUUCCAUAUUCAGAAAAAAUCGCGAAUCAUGUAUAUGCAAUUGGCCGUGAUCCAAAUGUCUGGCCUGAUCCGGAGGCCUUCAUCCCCGAAAGAUUCAAGGAUAGCGAUAUAGACCUUCGCGGACAAGAUUUCAGACUUGUACCAUUUGGCUCAGGCAGAAGAAUUAGCCCAGGUUUGCAGUUGGGGCUCACUGUUGUGCGUUUUGUGCUAGCACAGUUGGUGCAUUGUUUCAAUUGGGAACUUGCAGAUAACAUUCAGCCAAUCGGUUUGGAUAUGUCUGAGGCUUUGGUUUGGUAACUUCAAGGGCUAAGCAUUCAAAGGUAGUGCCUGCUUACCGAUUGCACAAAUGAAUAAAGAUUGUGGACUCCAAUUCUAGUUCAGGAACUGUAAAAGUAGAUUUAAUUUUUUUUUUUUUUUGUUAAUUCGAUUAUCCAGUUACAUUAUGGAAAGGUAUUCAUUUGUUUGUUUUUU